rnacentral:rRNA from 1 species
UACGAAGGGGGCUAGCGUUGUUCGGAAUCACUGGGCGUAAAGGGCGCGCAGGCGGCCAUUCAAGUCAGAUGUGAAAGCCCCGGGCUCAACCUGGGAGGUGCAUUUGGGACUGGAUGGCUUGAGAUCGGGAGAGGAGAGUGGAAUUCCCAGUGUAGAGGUGAAAUUCGUAGAUAUUGGGAAGAACACCAGUGGCGAAGGCGGCUCACUGGCUCGUAACUGACGCUCAGGCGCGACAGCGUGGGGAUCAAACAGG